UGAACAGGCAUCACAAUCUAGCAUCAGCCGUCUCCUGAGCUCACUUGGCUGGAGAUAGUCAACAGCAAACACACUGAGUUGCUUCUCUACUUCCAAGGUCACAGCCUCAGGACCCCAGGCAGAGAAAGUAUCUGUGAAAGAUUGAGAAGAUGGCUGACUCCAUCCAGACACCGCAAACCACAAUGCGGCAGCCACGCGACUAUCACAGACACCCCAGAGAAGGUCUCCCCUGAAGUGGAAACUACUGCCUUUCUCUUGCUUUUACAUCUCCAAUUGCUACAAAAAUAAUCUGCCUAAAGAUGCAUCAAACAGCUCUGAAUUCAAGGCAAGGAGACCAGGAACUGAAAGCUCAAAUCUGCCUCCCCAUCCGCUGGUGGCACACUUGGAAAAAGUGAGAGGGG